rnacentral:lncRNA from 10 species
UACAUUGGUUGAGAACAUACCAUGUGCCAGGUACUCAGCUAAGCAGAGUAGAUACAUAUAUCCAUUAUUGUGUUCAUAACUAUGUGUUGCUCUCUCAAGGCACUGGUCUUGUUAAGCAUAGGGAAAAAACAAGAUUAAUUGUGUUUACAAUAAAAUACAUGAAUAAAUAAAUAAAAUAUUUGAAAGUUUUUGUGCCUAUGCAAUAAUUAUUUAUUAAGCACUUGCUAUGUGCCAGGAACACACAAGGCUAUUUCUUCCUUUCUUGGCA